GUUUGAAUAGUUUAAUGGAUAAAAUACUUCCCCCCGAAGGAAGCAAUGUGGGUUCGACUCCCACUUCAAACA
rnacentral:tRNA from 1 species